CUCAGGGUAAGGGCUAACUCAGGUUAAGGGCUAACUCAGGUUAAUACUCAGGUUAAGGGUUAACUCAGGUUAAGGGCUAACUCAGGUUAAGGGCUAACUCAGGUUAAUACUCAGGUUAAGGGUUAACUCAGGUUAAUACUCAGGUUAAGGGCUAACUCAGGUUAAGGGCUAACUCAGGUUAAUACU